AUCCUUCUGUGGUUCGUAAGUGUGAUGAUUGGGUGUUCCCGCCAUUGUAUGAGCUGUGUUCCCCUCGAACCUUGUUACGGCGUCAGACCCGUCUGACG
ensembl:snoRNA